AGCGCAUACGGUGGAUGCCUUGGCAGUCAGAGGCGAUGAAAGACGUGGUAGCCUGCGAUAAGCUUUGGGGAGUCGGCAAACAGACUGUGAUCCAGAGAUCUCUGAAUGGGGGAACCCACUCAGCACAAGCUGAGUAUCUUGUACUGAAUACAUAGGUGCAAGAGGCGAACCAGGGGAACUGAAACAUCUAAGUACCCUGAGGAAAAGAAAUCAACCGAGAUUCCCUUAGUAGUGGCGAGCGAACGGGGACCAGCCCUUAAGUUGAUUUGAGAUUAGUGGAACGCUUUGGAAAGUGCGGCCAUAGUGGGUGAUAGCCCCGUACACGAAAAUCUCUUGUCAAUGAAAUCGAGUAGGACGGAGCACGAGAAACUUUGUCUGAAUAUGGGGGGACCAUCCUCCAAGGCUAAAUACUACUGACUGACCGAUAGUGAACCAGUACCGUGAGGGAAAGGCGAAAAGAACCCCGGAGAGGGGAGUGAAAUAGAACCUGAAACCGUAUGCGUACAAGCAGUGGGAGCCUACUUGUUAGGUGACUGCGUACCUUUUGUAUAAUGGGUCAGCGACUUAUAUUCAGUGGCGAGCUUAACCGAAUAGGGGAGGCGUAGCGAAAGCGAGUCUUAAUAGGGCGUUUAGUCGCUGGGUAUAGACCCGAAACCGGGCGAUCUAUCCAUGGGCAGGUUGAAGGUUAGGUAACACUGACUGGAGGACCGAACCGACUACCGUUGAAAAGUUAGCGGAUGACCUGUGGAUCGGAGUGAAAGGCUAAUCAAGCUCGGAGAUAGCUGGUUCUCCUCGAAAGCUAUUUAGGUAGCGCCUCAUGUAUCACUCCAGGGGGUAGAGCACUGUUUCGGCUAGGGGGUCAUCCCGACUUACCAAACCGAUGCAAACUCCGAAUACCUGGAAGUGCCGAGCAUGGGAGACACACGGCGGGUGCUAACGUCCGUCGUGAAAAGGGAAACAACCCAGACCGUCAGCUAAGGUCCCAAAGUCAUGGUUAAGUGGGAAACGAUGUGGGAAGGCUUAGACAGCUAGGAGGUUGGCUUAGAAGCAGCCACCCUUUAAAGAAAGCGUAAUAGCUCACUAGUCGAGUCGGCCUGCGCGGAAGAUGUAACGGGGCUCAAACCAUGCACCGAAGCUACGGGUGUCAUCUUUGAUGACGCGGUAGAGGAGCGUUCUGUAAGCCUGUGAAGGUGAGUUGAGAAGCUUGCUGGAGGUAUCAGAAGUGCGAAUGCUGACAUGAGUAACGACAAUGCGAGUGAAAAACUCGCACGCCGAAAGACCAAGGUUUCCUGCGCAACGUUAAUCGACGCAGGGUUAGUCGGUCCCUAAGGCGAGGCUGAAAAGCGUAGUCGAUGGAAAACAGGUUAAUAUUCCUGUACUUCCAGUUAUUGCGAUGGAGGGACGGAGAAGGUUAGGCCAGCCUGGCGUUGGUUGUCCAGGUUUAAGGUGGUAGGCUGAAAUCUUAGGCAAAUCCGGGAUUUCAAGGCCGAGAGCUGAUGACGAGUUGCCUUUAGGCGACGAAGUGGUUGAUACCAUGCUUCCAAGAAAAGCUCCUAAGCUUCAGAUAACUGGGAACCGUACCCCAAACCGACACAGGUGGUUAGGUAGAGAAUACCAAGGCGCUUGAGAGAACUCGGGUGAAGGAACUAGGCAAAAUGGCACCGUAACUUCGGGAGAAGGUGCGCCGGCGAGGGUGAAGGACUUGCUCCGUAAGCCCAUGCCGGUCGAAGAUACCAGGCCGCUGCGACUGUUUAUUAAAAACACAGCACUCUGCAAACACGAAAGUGGACGUAUAGGGUGUGACGCCUGCCCGGUGCCGGAAGGUUAAUUGAUGGGGUUAGCGCAAGCGAAGCUCUUGAUCGAAGCCCCGGUAAACGGCGGCCGUAACUAUAACGGUCCUAAGGUAGCGAAAUUCCUUGUCGGGUAAGUUCCGACCUGCACGAAUGGCGUAACGAUGGCGGCGCUGUCUCCACCCGAGACUCAGUGAAAUUGAAAUCGCUGUGAAGAUGCAGUGUAUCCGCGGCUAGACGGAAAGACCCCGUGAACCUUUACUAUAGCUUUGCACUGGACUUUGAAUUUGCUUGUGUAGGAUAGGUGGGAGGCUUUGAAGUGGGGACGCCAGUUCUCAUGGAGCCAUCCUUGAAAUACCACCCUGGCAACUUUGAGGUUCUAACUCAGGUCCGUUAUCCGGAUCGAGGACAGUGUAUGGUGGGUAGUUUGACUGGGGCGGUCUCCUCCCAAAGAGUAACGGAGGAGUACGAAGGUGCGCUCAGACCGGUCGGAAAUCGGUCGUAGAGUAUAAAGGCAAAAGCGCGCUUGACUGCGAGACAAACACGUCGAGCAGGUACGAAAGUAGGUCUUAGUGAUCCGGUGGUUCUGUAUGGAAGGGCCAUCGCUCAACGGAUAAAAGGUACUCCGGGGAUAACAGGCUGAUACCGCCCAAGAGUUCAUAUCGACGGCGGUGUUUGGCACCUCGAUGUCGGCUCAUCACAUCCUGGGGCUGAAGCCGGUCCCAAGGGUAUGGCUGUUCGCCAUUUAAAGUGGUACGCGAGCUGGGUUUAGAACGUCGUGAGACAGUUCGGUCCCUAUCUGCCGUGGACGUUUGAGAUUUGAGAGGGGCUGCUCCUAGUACGAGAGGACCGGAGUGGACGAACCUCUGGUGUUCCGGUUGUCACGCCAGUGGCAUUGCCGGGUAGCUAUGUUCGGAAGAGAUAACCGCUGAAAGCAUCUAAGCGGGAAACUUGCCUCAAGAUGAGAUCUCACUGGGAUCUUGA
rnacentral:rRNA from 1 species